AUUGAGGCUUUUAUGAAUUUUUAAUAAUUUCUUUUUAUGUUUGAUUUGACACCCGGUUCCGAUGAGAGCGGUUCCAAUAUUAACGGUUUUUUAAUUACCCACUGUCGGUGGCUAAAAAAAAACAAGUUCGCUGCCCAAGUCUUUUGUUCUCCGCUCGGCCAGCAUGACGACCUGACAACACCAGGCUCCGCAUCCAGGUCGGAAAAGUGAAAUUGAAGUCGCAGUCAUAUUCGUGGUUGUUUUGGGGGAAAAACGGGAGGCGGGCACUACAUACGUAUAAUAAUGUAAAAAACCUAGUAAUCAGGGGAGCCACAAAGAUCGGGGCAGCUCAUUAACUUACCGCUUUCGUCAACCAGCCACAGAUGCCUAAAAAUAGCGCCACGUCAUGGGGCAGUCUGGGUUUU
ensembl:snRNA snRNA:7SKb small nuclear RNA 7SK b